rnacentral:rRNA from 1 species
AUGGUCAACGAUUCUGCAAGCGGCAAUGGGAAUUCAAAGAAACAGAGGAGGAAGAAGAAGAGGAGGUCCCUGGCGAGGGCUGCGGUGGAUACUGGCUGGAUGCCCUCAGAUGCCGAUGUCCACGCCCGUGUAGAAGAUGCCUCGCCCAUGCCGCUCAAUUUUGUUCAACACGGCGUCCAUGUCCUUGGCGGUUGCCCAAGUUCAGGAACAGGAUGCAUGCGCGGCAACAAGCUCAGCUACUGCCCAAGCAAUGGUGUGCAUGUCCUUAGUACAGGGAGCUUGCCCAUCUUGGUCGGUGAAGAGGUACUGCCCGAGGACGCUGAGACCUAG